rnacentral:rRNA from 1 species
AACGAACGCUGGCGGCAGGCCUCAUACAUGCAAGUCGAGCGAUUAAGACUCCUUCGGGAGUGUAUAAAGCGGCGAACGGGUGAGUAACAGGUGGAUGAUCUACCUUCCGGUGGGGGAUAACGGCUGGAAACGGCCGCUAAUACCGCAUUCGGUUAAUACGCUGUGGCGUAUUAAAGAAAGGCGCCUCAAAGCGCCGCCGGGAGAUGAGUCCGCCCCCCAUUAGCUAGUUGGUGAGAUAACAGCUCACCAAGGCAACGAUGGGUAGCCGAACUGAGAGGUUGAUCGGCCACACUGGAACUGAGACACGGUCCAGACACCUACGGGUGGCAGCAGUAGGGAAUAUUGGGCAAUGGGCGAAAGCCUGACCCAGCCAUGCCGCGUGAGUGAUGAAGGUCCUAGAGAUUGUAAAACUCUUUUCUGAGGAAAGAAUGAAUAGGAAGGAAAUGUCCUUAUUUUGACGGUACCUCAGGAAUAAGGAACGGCUAACUCCGUGCCAGCAGCCGCGGUAAACACG